AAAUCGGCUGUUAUUACAGCCACCUCAAAGUGGCAAAACAGUUUCUU
rfam:Agrobacterium sp. DSM 25559 isolate DSM25559 genome assembly, contig: DSM25559_contig1